AGGGCAGUAGCUCUAAUUGGUAGAGCAACGGACUCCAAAUCCGUAGGUUGUGGGUUCGAAUCCCUCCUGCCCUGCCA
rnacentral:tRNA from 1 species